UCAAACUUGACACGUGAAUGCGGCGGUGGAUGCACUUCCAAGCUGAACGGAAUGUCGACUGAUAUGGAACGGAGUAGAUAUUAACAAUGCAUUUAAGCAGUGUAUAGUAAAUUUGGAAAGCAAAGGAUUGCAGAAUAUAGACCUGACCAUGGGUUUCUGGCAAAUUUACCUGGUGACACUUCUCAGGAAUUGUUUCAGUACCAUCACAGCGAUCGAAAACAGCUCCAACGGCAGCCGAAACUUGGGCACUGCGAAAUGAAGGCACGAGUUGAUGCAGAUGGUAAACGGCUUCGCACACUGUAGUCACUGACUUGCAGCAUAAUUCGAGUGAACACCGACAGUUCAACAAUGUGUUUGCGAAUAAACCAAAUCCAAAAUAGCUGUUUGUCCAUUUCAACUAGCCAAGCUGUAGAAACGAAUAGAGUUCCUGAUAUACCGUGGCCUUCGUAACUAUAUGAAAUUUGAUAAGAAAUAUCAAAAUCACUAGAUGGGUGUCAUUCCCACUCGUUAGGAGAGUAAGACAAAGCACUUUUAAAUACGUAAGUACCUACUUGUGUGGUGUGAACCAGUCUACUAUAGUAGAACCCAGUGGCAAUAUGAACCGGUCUAUUGCACGUUAGCUUGUAUGUGUAUUAACGCACCGUUUGAGCGAGAGAGUCUGCAUUG